GGCAUGAUUUCUAGAGAGAGUCCUAGGAGAUCUAAACUCUUUGAGUCAUGGUUCAUCUGAUUCAGAUUGGAUCUCAAUCAGGUUCAAUCGAGUCCGAUUCGAGUUGAAUUCGAAAAGACUGUCAAGCUUGAUCCAAUCAAGCUUAAAAUCCAAAUCUGAUUUGGAUAAUUGAACCCAAUAAGUAUUAAAUUAAAUUAAAUUAAAUUUAAAUUAAUUAAGAUUUAAUUUAUAAUUUAAUCA
rnacentral:lncRNA from 1 species